GACGAACGCUGGCGGCGUGCCUAAUACAUGCAAGUCGAGCGCAGGAAACUGACGGAACUCUUCGGAGGGAAGGCAGUGGAAUGAGCGGCGGACGGGUGAGUAACACGUAAGGAACCUGCCUCAAGGAUUGUGAUAACUCCGAGAAAUCGGAGCUAAUACCGGAUAGUUCAACGGACCGCAUGGUCCGCUGAUGAAAGGCGCUCCGGCGUCACCUUGAGAUGGCCUUGCGGUGCAUUAGCUAGUUGGUGGGGUAACGGCCCACCAAGGCGACGAUGCAUAGCCGACCUGAGAGGGUGAUCGGCCACACUGGGACUGAGACACGGCCCAGACUCCUACGGGAGGCAGCAGUAGGGAAUCUUCCACAAUGGACGAAAGUCUGAUGGAGCAACGCCGCGUGAGUGAUGAAGGUUUUCGGAUCGUAAAACCCUGUUGUAAGGGAAGAACACGUACGAGAGGGAAUGCUCGUACCUUGACGGUACCUUACGAGAAAGCCACGGCUAACUACGUGCCAGCAGCCGCCGUAA
rnacentral:rRNA from 1 species